CCUACGGGUGGCAGCAGUGAGGAAUAUUUGUCAAUGGACGAGAGUCUGAACCAGCCAAGUAGCGUGAAGGAUGACUGCCCUAUGGGUUGUAAACUUCUUUUAUGUGGGAAUAAAACGUUCCACGAGUGGGAUUUUGUGUGUACCAUAUUAAUAAUGAGCGGCUAACUCCGUGCCAGCAGCCGCGGUAAUACUGAGGAUCCGAGCGUUGUCCGGAUUUGUUGGGUGUAAGGGGAGCGUAGGUGGUUUGUUAAGUCAGUUGUGAAAGUUUGCGGCUCAACCGUAAAAUUGCAGUUGAAACUGGCAGUCUUGAGUACAGUAGAGGUGGGCGGAAUUCGCGGUGUAGCGGUGAAAUGCUUAGAUAUCACGAAGAACUCCGAUUGCGAAGGCAGUUCACUGGACUGCAACUGACACUGAGGCUCGAAAGUGUGGGUAUCAAACAGGAUUAGAUACCCUAGUAGUC
rnacentral:rRNA from 1 species